CUAUUACUUCCUCCGUCAAACAAAGGAUGUCUCAACUUUAACUAAAUUUAAAUGCAUCUAUACACUAAGUUAUGUCUAGAUACAUCUAAAUUUUGACAAAGUUGAGACAUCUUUUGUUGGACGGAGUGAGUACUAU
rnacentral:pre_miRNA from 1 species